ensembl:lncRNA
AUGAGGCGGAGCUAUUUGCUUGUGAUGAUGACGGCGCUGUUAAUAACGGUGAGCAAGUUGUUCAUGAGUCACGUGGUAAUGUUACCUACAGAGGACGCUUUACAAGAGGUUGUGGUUAGCUCGGAAUCACAUCACGAUCUAAACAAUGUCACAAAUCCCGCCCCCGCCCCAUCUUCAGAAGAACAGUCUCACAAGCUCCCAGACUGCUCAAGUGUUCACAUCCCAGGUACGUCCAGGCCCCAACACUCAGAGGGUCAGGGUGUAAAACGUUUGAGGUUACUGGAGCAGGAAACGGAUGAUGUUCCGACCACAAGCCAUUUAAGGACUUCAGAGAAUAAUGGUAUGUAUUAAAGCAGAAAAUCUUAUUACGUUUUAUGUUUUGCCUUUUAUUCAAUAAAUUAAUGAACUGUUAUCA